GCGGAGUUAGUGUAGUGGUUAUCACGCAUCGUUCACACCGAUGAGGUCGCGAGUUCGAUCCUCGCACUCCGUA